GGCCCAAUAGUCAAAUGGUUAAGACAUUACUCUUUCAAUGUGAAAAUGGGGAUUCGAUUUCCCCUUGGGCUA
rnacentral:tRNA from 1 species